rnacentral:rRNA from 1 species
UUCAGAGGUGGCGAGCGUUGUUCGGAUUUACUGGGCGUAAAGGGUGCGUAGGUGGUUCUGUAUGUCGGGUGUGAAAUCCCACUGCUCAACGGUGGAACGGCGCCCGAAACUGCAGGACUAGAGUGCAGGAGAGGAGAGCGGAAUUCCUGGUGUAGCGGUGGAAUGCGUUGAUAUCAGGAAGAACACCGGUGGCGUAGGCGGCUCUCUGGAAUGCAACUGACACUGAGGCACGAAAGCUGGGGGAG